ensembl:lncRNA
UUUUUUUUUUCCUUAACGGCCACACCUGCAGCACAUGGAGCGGCCCAAAGAAAUAGCAAAAAGACCAAAAUAAAAAAUAAAUAAAUAAAGUUUAAAAAAAAAAAAGAAAGAUAACACUAAGAGAGUUCCCACUGUGGCUAAGCAGAAAUGAGCCUGACUAGUAACCAUAAGGAUGCAGGUUCAAUCCUUGGCCUCACUCAGUGGGUUAAGGAUCCGGCGUUGCCGUGAGCUGUGGUGAAGGUCGCAGACGAGGCUCAGAUCCUGCAUGGCUGUGGGGUAGGCCGGCAGCUGUAGCAAUGAUUAGACCCCUAGCCUGGGAACCUCCAUAUGCUGUGGGAGCAGCUCUAAAAAAGAAAAAGAAAACGCAAGGGAAGCCUUAAGACCAGAAUCAUGCCGCAUGAGCUGCGGUGCAGGGAGGACAGAACAUGAGCUAUGACAGGAGUGCCCUGCAGGGAACAAAGAGGCAGCGGCACAAACCCACAGCCUCCCACAAAAGGGAGGUCCACACGGGGCCACAGGCCUGGAGUCAGAGGACCUGGGCUCUGUCCAGCUCCUCUGUCCGCUGGUGCUUUGCCAGGGUCGCCUGGCUGCUGCAGCUCUGGGGCAGGGACCACUUGUUCCAGGAGCGACUAUGAGGAUGGAGCUGUCACCCAGGGUGCGCGGGAACCACGAACUGUCGUGCACAAAGGGCUCCACAGACCGCUGUGCACACCUGUGCCGCCAGGUGCCCAGGACUGCGGGGCGCCCUGCAGCGGCUGCGGCACCAGCUGGGAGUCCCGCCGAGAGCGUGAGGACAAUGGGCAGGGCGCGCAGAGAGCAGCCCCUGGGAGGUCUGUGUCACCACCGAGGGCGACCAGCAGGACGGCUGCACAGGGGCUGACACGCACACUUCCCACUUGUAACCAACUAUCAACAUCUGAAAAGUAGGGGUUACGAAAGGUCUGAAAGUGAGGGCCCAGGCGAGGCUGCUGGCGCCCCCCAGGGCUGGCCCCUGGCACAGCUCAGACCCCACUUUCUCUGUGUGUGGGCACCAACCCUCACGGUACAGAUGCCCUUCCUACCCUGGCCCGCUUCGCUCACCCAGCUGACCCACCUGCCCUGACUCCCCUGACUAACGGGUCACCUCCUAGGACCCAGUCCUGGUCACUCCUCUCAGCAGUGACGACACAACUGCCCCCACCAGGUUGGGUGGGUCCAGGGUGUCUGGUCCCACAGUCGGUCCAGAGCCGCCCUUGGCCCGAACAGCCGGGCCUCACCUCAGCCCAUCACUCGCCAGCAGCCUACACCAUUCAGCCCACCCGCACCCUAGACCUCCCAGAGAUCAAGAGCUCAAAACUCACUUCCCUCACAGAAGCAACACCUGCAGAUGGUGCAAAUGCAAUGCUGUGGGCACCUUAGCAGGAAUCAAGACACACCCCGAGCGCUAGCCCGAGUGACUGGGCUCCUCCCGCCAGCACUCAGGACAGCGCCCCGGGGUAACCUGGCCGUCAGCACCAUGGCCAGCGGCCCCGAGGCGACGCGGAGACCCUGGAAAGGCAGCAUGGGGCUGGGCUGAGCCCCCCACCCCCUCCACCCGGGGCAUCGGAAGAAUGAUGGACAAAGUCCACGCUGAGCAUCUGAGCGACUCCCAGGAGCGACACCUGACCCACAAAGUCAAGUUCCAUGACUUCCCCCCCCAAGAAAAGUCUGGUUUGAGACUAUUACCUAACACACUUUCAGGUCAUGUCAGAAUGACCCCCUAUUUUGUUCUGCCUCUACUCCAGCACAUUCGGGAAUCCGCCGACAAACACCAACAUGCCACAUCCUGGACAAGCACGAGCUCCAGAAACAGAACAGCAACAUCCUGCCUCACUUUGUCUCUCAUGCAGAACACGAGGCCUCCCUGCCGGUUUCGAUAAGUGACCACGGUCGAUGGCCCAGGGCAGAAGAGGAAGGGGCAGGGAGCACGGGGACGGCAGAGGGCUGGCAGGCAUGGGGGGGACAGGACACUGAGGGGGCCUGCCCUGUGCCCCAUCCCUGACUUCGUGACUGACACCUGGCAGUGGGACAGAGGACGGAGCGCCAGGGCCACUCCACGCAGUGCCUACAGGACUGCUAACUAAGCGCCUUCACAGGCGGUGGAGUCUGGGAUGCUAACAGUCCCCCAAUAAAGGACAAGUUAGCUGAUCAGACGAGCAUAAAAACAAGCACCAAAGAAAAGGAACGCUCUCUAGGUCUGACGUUUUUUGCACAAGGCUCCGUCUCACAAAGCUAACACUUGGUGUGCCGUUAAAACACAGGCGCUGCCAGCGACCGGCUUCGCCUGAGCAGAGAGGAGCAGCACAGAGGGUUCUCAAAGCUCGAAGCAGAGACACGCUCCCUACUGAGCUCAACCUCGUCUAUCCCGGCAGGAUCCUUUCGCCUUGAUCAAAGCAAAACAAAAUGACCAGGAAACGCAAAGUUUUGAGUUAAUUAUUUUACUUCAAGCCCAGAUCUUUCCAUUUGGGGGACUCCAUCUGGUUGUGCAGGAGCAAGACUUUAACGCAUGUGAAUAACCGCCCAGCAAUUCAAGUUCCUAACACGUCAGUACAGCCGCUGGCUCAGAACCCGAAGGCCGUUUUGUUACUGGUGCACAGACAAGACAACUAACACCAGCAGAGUCUACCAGUGGUUAAACCAUCUCCCCAAAGCCUGGUCUCUGUCCUAAAAGAACGUCCCAUACAAUCAUCUAGGUUCUC